AUUGAACGCUGGCGGCAGGCCUAACACAUGCAAGUCGAGCGGCAGCGGGAAAGUAGCUUGCUACUUUUGCCGGCGAGCGGUGGACGGGUGAGUAAUGCCUGGGAAAUUGCCCAGUCGAGGGGGAUAACAGUUGGAAACGACUGCUAAUACCGCAUACGCCCUACGGGGGAAAGCAGGGGACCUUCGGGCCUUGCGCGAUUGGAUAUGCCCAGGUGGGAUUAGCUAGUUGGUGAGGUAAUGGCUCACUAAGGCGACGAUCCCUAGCUGGUCUGGGAGGAUGAUCAGCCAAACUGGAACUGAGACACGGUCCAGACUCCUACGGGAGGCAGCAGUGGGGAAUAUUGCACAAUGGGGGAAACCCUGAUGCAGCCAUGCCGCGUGUGUGAAGAAGGCCUUCGGGUUGUAAAGCACUUUCAGCGAGGAGGAAAGGCCAGUAGCUAAUAUCUGCUGGCUGUGACGUUACUCGCAGAAGAAGCACCGGCUAACUCCGUGCCAGCCGCCGCAGUAAUAC
rnacentral:rRNA from 1 species